rnacentral:rRNA from 1 species
GACGAACGCUGGCGGCGUGCUUAACACAUGCAAGUCGAACGGAAAGGCCCUGCUUUUGUGGGGUGCUCGAGUGGCGAACGGGUGAGUAACACGUGAGUAACCUGCCCUUUACUUUGGGAUAACUUCAGGAAACUGGGGCUAAUACCGGAUCGGAGCUCCUGCUGCAUGGUGGGGGUUGGAAAGUUUCGGCGGGUGGGGAUGGACUCGCGGCUUAUCAGCUUGUUGGUGGGGUAGUGGCUUACCAAGGCUUGGACGGGUAGCCGACCUGUGAGGGUGACCGGCGACAUUGGGACUGAGAUACGGCGCAGACUGCUACGGGGGGCAGCAGUGGGGAAUAUUGCACAAUGGGCGGAAGCCUAAUGCAGCAGCGCCGCGUGCGGGAUGACGGCCUUCGGGUUGUAAACCGCUUUCGCCUGUGACGAAGCGUGAGUGACGGUAAUGGGUAAAGAAGCACCGGCUAACUACGUG